GUGGGGAAUAUUGGACAAUGGGCGAAAGCCUGAUCCAGCCAUGCCGCGUGUGUGAAGAAGGUCUUCGGAUUGUAAAGCACUUUAAGCGAGGAGGAGGCUACCGAGAUUAAUACUCUUGGAUAGUGGACGUUACUCGCAGAAUAAGCACCGGCUAACUCUGUGCCAGCAGCCGCGGUAAUACAGAGGGUGCAAGCGUUAAUCGGAUUUACUGGGCGUAAAGCGCGCGUAGGUGGCCAAUUAAGUCAAAUGUGAAAUCCCCGAGCUUAACUUGGGAAUUGCAUUCGAUACUGGUUGGCUAGAGUAUGGGAGAGGAUGGUAGAAUUCCAGGUGUAGCGGUGAAAUGCGUAGAGAUCUGGAGGAAUACCGAUGGCGAAGGCAGCCAUCUGGCCUAAUACUGACACUGAGGUGCGAAAGCAUGGGGAGCAAACAGGAUUAGAAACCCUGGUAGUCC
rnacentral:rRNA from 1 species